GGUUGGUCGGAGGGUAGUGGUGUUUACAAUUAAUUGAUCACAACUAGUUGCAGAUUUCUUUGUUCCUUCUCCACUCCCACUACUUUACUUGAACAGCUGUCCUUAA
ensembl:misc_RNA Y_RNA Y RNA